UCUCGAUUAGUAUAGUGGUUAGUAUGCCAGCUUGUCAAUCCCUGUAUUGUCAGCUUCGCUGGAGACCGGGGUUCAAUUCCCCGAUCGAGAG